rnacentral:lncRNA from 1 species
CGAUCGACCACGGAUUCACGACAAAAUCCAAACUUUCUUUCCAAUAGAAGGAAUAACACAUAAAUACAUAUAAAACACGUAUUUUCGGAUUUUCUCGAAAUUCGUGCAUCAAACUCAAAAUCCGUCAGCGCCAGUAGUUCCAGAAUAGCUGAACCGAUCGAAACGAGCUAUUGGACUGAUAUGAACGGAGUCCGAUACGCACCAGAAGCCAACUCUACUCCGUGGCUUCUCCGAAAAACCGGAGUUACUAUUCACUUAAGUGAAAACUAAAAUCGCGUAUCUUCUCCAUUUUAGCUCAGUUUCUCCUGAAACUUGACGAGUGCUUAUGUAACUAGAUUACACACAUAAACAUC